rnacentral:rRNA from 1 species
GAUGAACGCUGACAGAAUGCUUAACACAUGCAAGUCUUUGGCGAAGCUGUGCUUGCACAGCCUAGCCAAGGCGGACGGGUGAGUAACGCGUAAGGAACUUGCCCUGCAGUCAGGGAUAACAGACGGAAACGACUGAUAAGACCUGGUAAAGUCAGGCGGACUCAUGUCCAGCCUGAUGAAAAGAGAUGCUGCAGGAGAGCCUUGCGUCCUAUUAGCUUGUUGGUGGGGUAACGGCCCACCAAGGCGAUGAUAGGUAGCCGGCCUGAGAGGGUGGACGGCCACAAGGGGACUGAGAUACGGCCCUUACUCCUACGGGAGGCAGCAGUGGGGAAUAUUGGACAAUGGGGGCAACCCUGAUCCAGCAAUUCUGUGUGCACGAUGAAGGUUUUCGGAUUGUAAAGUGCUUUCAGCAGGGAAGAAAAAAUGACGGUACCUGCAGAAGAAGCGACGGCUAAAUACG